AGAGUUUGAUCCUGGCUCAGGACGAACGCUGGCGGCGUGCUUAACACAUGCAAGUCGAACGCUGAACCCGCUUCGGUGGGGGAUGAGUGGCGAACGGGUGAGUAACACGUGGGCAACCUGCCCCCGGCUCUGGGAUAACUCCAAGAAAUUGGGGCUAAUACCGGAUAUCCACCGCUGGCCGCAUGGUGUGGUGGUGGAAAGGGUUUCUGGCUGGGGAUGGGCCCGCGGCCUAUCAGCUUGUUGGUGGGGUAGUGGCCUACCAAGGCGACGACGGGUAGCCGGCCUGAGAGGGUGACCGGCCACACUGGGACUGAGACACGGCCCAGACUCCUACGGGAGGCAGCAGUGGGGAAUAUUGCGCAAUGGGCGGAAGCCUGACGCAGCGACGCCGCGUGGGGGAUGACGGUCUUCGGGUUGUAAACCUCUUUCAGCAGGGACGAAGCGCAAGUGACGGUACCUGCAGAAGAAGCACCGGCCAACUACGUGCCAGCAGCCGCGGUAAUACGUAGGGUGCAAGCGUUGUCCGGAAUUAUUGGGCGUAAAGAGCUCGUAGGCGGUUGGUCGCGUCGGCUGUGAAAACCCGGAGCUCAACUCCGGGCCUGCAGUCGAUACGGGCCGACUUGAGUGUUGCAGGGGAGACUGGAAUUCCUGGUGUAGCGGUGAAAUGCGCGAUAUCAGGAGGAACACCGGUGGCGAAGGCGGGUCUCUGGGCAACAACUGACGCUGAGGAGCGAAAGCGUGGGGAGCGAACAGGAUUAGAUACCCUAGUAGUCC
rnacentral:rRNA from 1 species